rnacentral:rRNA from 1 species
UACGUAGGGGGCAAGCGUUGUCCGGAAUUAUUGGGCGUAAAGCGCACGUAGGCGGACUAUUAAGUCAGGGGUGAAAUCCCGGGGCUCAACCCCGGAACUGCCUUUGAUACUGGUAGUCUCGAGUCCGGAAGAGGUGAGUGGAAUUCCGAGUGUAGAGGUGAAAUUCGUAGAUAUUCGGAGGAACACCAGUGGCGAAGGCGGCUCACUGGUCCGGUACUGACGCUGAGGUGCGAAAGCGUGGGGAGCAAACAGG